AGAGUUUGAUCCUGGCUCAGGAUGAACGCUAGCUACAGGCUUAACACAUGCAAGUCGAGGGGAAACGGCAUUGAGUGCUUGCACUCUUUGGACGUCGACCGGCGCACGGGUGAGUAACGCGUAUCCAACCUUCCCAUUACUGUGGGAUAACCUGCCGAAAGGCAGACUAAUACCGCAUAGUCUUCGAUGACGGCAUCAGAUUUGAAGUAAAGAUUUAUCGGUAAUGGAUGGGGAUGCGUCUGAUUAGCUUGUUGGCGGGGUAACAGCCCACCAAGGCAACGAUCAGUAGGGGUUCUGAGAGGAAGGUCCCCCACAUUGGAACUGAGACACGGUCCAAACUCCUACGGGAGGCAGCAGUGAGGAAUAUUGGUCAAUGGACGGAAGUCUGAACCAGCCAAGUAGCGUGCAGGAUGACGGCCCUAUGGGUUGUAAACUGCUUUUGUAUGGGGAUAAAGUUAGGGACGUGUCCCUAUUUGCAGGUACCAUACGAAUAAGGACCGGCUAAUUCCGUGCCAGCAGCCGCGGUAAUACGGAAGGUCCAGGCGUUAUCCGGAUUUAUUGGGUUUAAAGGGAGUGUAGGCGGUCUGUUAAGCGUGUUGUGAAAUUUAGGUGCUCAACAUCUACCUUGCAGCGCGAACUGGCGGACUUGAGUGCACGCAACGUAUGCGGAAUUCAUGGUGUAGCGGUGAAAUGCUUAGAUAUCAUGACGAACUCCGAUUGCGAAGGCAGCGUACGGGAGUGUUACUGACGCUUAAGCUCGAAGGUGCGGGUAUCGAACAGGAUUAGAUACCCUGGUAGUCCGCACAGUAAACGAUGGAUGCCCGCUGUUGGUACCUGGUAUCAGCGGCUAAGCGAAAGCAUUAAGCAUCCCACCUGGGGAGUACGCCGGCAACGGUGAAACUCAAAGGAAUUGACGGGGGCCCG
rnacentral:rRNA from 1 species